UCUCCUUGAUCUGCCUGCCCCCUGAACACACCGUGAAAAAGCCCGGUCUCGGGAGACAACACAGGGGUUGUAAACGUCAAACACUAGGGGCAUAGGCUGGGCACCAAAAAUACAACAAACACAUGUUUGCUGCAGCUACUAGA